rnacentral:rRNA from 1 species
GACGAACGCUGGCGGCGUGCUUAACACAUGCAAGUCGAACGCUGAAGACCUGGCUUUGGUUGGGUUGGAUGAGUGGCGAACGGGUGCGUAACACGUGAGUAACCUGCCCUCUUCUUUGGGAUAACGCCCGGAAACGGGUGCUAAUACUGGAUAUUCACUUAUCUUCGCAUGGGGGUUGGUGGAAAGGGUUGUUCUGGUGGGGUAUGGGCUCGCGGCCUAUCAGCUUGUUGGUGGGGUGAUGGCCUACAUAGGCUGUGACGGGUAGCCGGCCGGGGUGGGUGACCCGUGACAUGGGGCCUGGGCCACGGCCCAGAGACAUGCGGGAGUCAGCAGUGGGGAAUAUUGGGCGAAGGGCGAAAGCAUGAUGCCGCGACGCGGCGUGAGGGAUGGCGGCUUUCGGGUCGUAAUCAUCUGUCGCGAAUGGUUAUGCCGCAAAUGUGGGUUGUGGUGAGGGUAGUGGGUAAAGAAGCGCCGGCUAACUACGUG